CGACUUAUAUUCUGUAGCAAGGUUAACCGCAUAGGGGAGCCGGAGGGAAACCGAGUCUUAAUUGGGCGUUAAGUUGCAGGGUAUAGACCCGAAACCCGGUGAUCUAGCCAUGGGCAGGUUGAAGGUUGGGUAACACUAACUGGAGGACCGAACCGACUAAUGUUGAAAAAUUAGCGGAUGACCUGUGGCUGGGGGUGAAAGGCCAAUCAAACCGGGAGAUAGCUGGUUCUCCCCGAAAGCUAUUUAGGUAGCGCCUCGUGAAUUCAUCUCCGGGGGUAGAGCACUGUUUCGGCUAGGGGGCCAUCCCGGCUUACCAACCCGAUGCAAACUGCGAAUACCGGAGAAUGUUAUCACGGGAGACACACGGCGGGUGCUAACGUCCGUCGUGAAGAGGGAAACAACCCAGACCGCCAGCUAAGGUCCCAAAGUCAUGGUUAAGUGGGAAACGAUGUGGGAAGGCCCAGACAGCCAGGAUGUUGGCUUAGAAGCAGCCAUCAUUUAAAGAAAGCGUAAUAGCUCACUGGUCGAGUCGGCCUGCGCGGAAGAUGUAACGGGGCUAAACCAUG
rnacentral:rRNA from 1 species